UGGGGAAUAUUGGACAAUGGGGGGAACCCUGAUCCAGCCAUGCCGCGUGUGUGAAGAAGGCCUUAUGGUUGUAAAGCACUUUAAGCGAGGAGGAGGGUACUGGUAUUAAUACUACCAGCUACUGGACGUUACUCGCAGAAUAAGCACCGGCUAACUCUGUGCCAGCAGCCGCGGUAAUACAGAGGGUGCGAGCGUUAAUCGGAUUUACUGGGCGUAAAGCGUGCGUAGGCGGCUAAUUGAGUCGGAUGUGAAAUCCCCGAGCUUAACUUGGGAAUUGCAUUCGAUACUGGUUAGCUAGAGGGUGGGAGAGGAUGGUAGAAUUCCAGGUGUAGCGGUGAAAUGCGUAGAGAUCUGGAGGAAUACCGAUGGCGAAGGCAGCCAUCUGGCCUAACACUGACGCUGAGGUACGAAAGCAUGGGGAGCAAACAGG
rnacentral:rRNA from 1 species